CAGCCGCCGCGGGAAUACAGAGGGUGCGAGCGUUAAUCGGAUUUACUGGGCGUAAAGCGUGCGUAGGCGGCUUCUUAAGUCGGAUGUGAAAUCCCUGAGCUUAACUUAGGAAUUGCAUUCGAUACUGGGAAGCUAGAGUAUAGGAGAGGAUGGUAGAAUUCCAGGUGUAGCGGUGAAAUGCGUAGAGAUCUGGAGGAAUACCGAUGGCGAAGGCAGCCAUCUGGCCUAAUACUGACGCUGAGGUACGAAAGCAUGGGGAGCAAACAGGAUUAGAUACCCGCGUAGUCCCUGUCUCUUAUAA
rnacentral:rRNA from 1 species